UACGAGUGCCCCAAGCGUUAUCCGGAAUCAUUGGGCGUAAAGGGUGCGUAGGUGGUUGUGUUAGUCUUCUGUUAAAAUCCUCGGCUUAACCGAGGACUCGCAGAGGAAACGGCACAACUUGAGGAUGCGAGGGGUCAGUGGAACUCAUGGAGUAGGGGUGAAAUCCGUCGAUAUCAUGGGGAACAACAAAAGCGAAGGCAACUGACUGGCGCAUAUCUGACACUGAGGCACGAAAGCGUGGGUAGCGAACGGG
rnacentral:misc_RNA from 1 species